rnacentral:lncRNA from 1 species
GUUUUCAAGAAGCUCUGAUUUUGUUGUGUAACUAAUGGCAGAAUGUAGAAGGAUUACAGUGGAUUAAUUUGCAGCAGCUGUUGUAACAACAUCUUAAUAGUUCCUGAGUAUAAAGUGCUCAUCUGUUCCUCGUGCCAGGGCAAUACAAAGAAAGUACUAAAAAGAUGGGUUUCAAGAAUAAAGUUGAUUCUUCCAUUUCAGAGCAUGAAAUAUGUACAUUAUGCAGCAGGCAACGAUGCACAUGGACACAUUCCUAAUGUUGUGGGGGAAGCUCACAGGUUUUCUCUUAAUGGAGGAUGGAGAAUUGAUGUUUUCCUUGUGGGUGAAAGUGCAGUAAGUGAUGUCAUUACCCAUUUGUAGUACCUUAUCUGAAACUUUGGCCAGAAAAGCUGGAUUUUGCUUUUUCCCUGUUUUUAAAAGACAGGGAAUGUGGAGCUGAGGCUGAGCUGCCCCUGAGACAGGCCCAGCUCUGUGCCUGCUUUGCAGGGCUGCAGGUAAACAGGGGAAUCCAUCCUGCUCCUGGAUGCUCUAGCCAGCAAUGUCCAACCUUGCAGUGAGGAAGAAAUGUUCAAUGAUAAAGUGGUGAUGUAAGGGAAGAAUGGGGAAAAGAAUCUCCUUCCCAAAAUUUAACACAUUAUUGCAGGUUUGUAUUUUGGGUAGUCUGGCC